AGAGAUUUUGGAGUUAUUUUAAUGUUUCAUUUUAAUGCAGGAGUAUAGUACAAUCUUGGUGUAAAAAAAAAGCACAGAAAAUGACUCGAGUUUGGUCAGUUUGGAUUGGAGGUAACACUGUGAUGAUGUGGCGUAAAACACAUUUGCGGGGAGCGAGUACUCUCAAGACACGGUGCGUCUCGGAGAGGCGAUGUUUGACUUCAAAUGCCAUAUUUAGGAAAAA